CGGCCCACAUCUAAUGGAAACCCAAGCCCACUGUCACUAGCAGCUCGUGGCCACGGACGCUCUUGGCUUGGGCGACACAUCCGUGUCCUGGUGCUAAACCGCCUCGGUUGAGUCCUUAGGAACAAUGCUGGGGUGAAGUGGAUGUGUUUCUACUACUGUGUUUCACCGAAACAGCUGUGCAACAGACUUCCUUUCGAGAAUUCCCCGCACUGAGUAAAAUCUUCUAAAAAGAUUGAAAGCUUCAUGGACUAUCAUCGCCAUCAGCAGCUGUGGGAGCAGGAGAAUUAGAAACAAGCUCUUUACGGAGGCUACCUGUGUCCUGCUGGGAGACCAGAGCAACUUCGAGGUGGAGGAGAGAAGCCUACUAGCUGUGCCUGGGAACUGCUCCUUGCCUUAGCCCCCACUUGUGUCCUCUAUGGGUCACUGCGGAGGUGAAGCCGAGACUUGUGGCUUCGUACUGAAGGAUGCAGGUGCCAAAUAUCAGCAAUACGUCUUCAUUGUAUGGGCCAAACAACAUUCCUGCUUCGUCAGCCUUCUGUAGGAUGGCACAGGGAUAAUACACAAUUGUUCCAGGUUCAGCCAACUGUGAUGCCUCAAGACAUAAAGCAUAUUCCCCUAAAGUAAUUUUGUUCUUUAUCCUUAAAGAACACAGCCAAACCCUCAAAACUACACAUUAACUUUAGUAGGACAACUGUAUUGCUAAUGCUUAACAGAUGCGAUUGAACCUUUUCUGUUAAAAUCCUCAGUUCCAGAAAUUUCCCUUGUUCUGACACUUUAAGAAGGUGAAAUUGUCCUUGAAAGGACAAAGUUCUUCCUUCCAGACUUGACAUAUUUUUCUAGAACCCUCCUACAUUGUACUUUGGUAUUUCAGUGUUGUGAAGUAUAGUAUCAGCUCAGUUCUGCAAAACUAUUGAGUUAUUGUACUGGUUAAUAAAGUGAAAUUUAUACAAGCUUAAUCA
rnacentral:lncRNA from 1 species